UGUGCCGGAUGCCGUGUAGGGUCUGACUGAAGUCUCCGACCGAGGUCUCCUCCCUCCUCCCUGGUGUUUGGAAUUCCAGAGGCGUGUGGACGUGAUGGAGUGCAGCUGUCAGCCGAGUGUCACUCAUCCUGUUUACAGAGUUCUGCAUCUCCACAGACUAAGAGUGAAGAGACUCCUGAGCAAAGAACUGUUAAAAAAAGCCAUCGCAUCCAGUGGAAGUGAACUUUCAGGAACGAAAGGAAUGGGAGGAGUUAGCAAUUGGCUGAUCCGAGGCCGGCAAUCCCUGUACAUCCAUCCGCCCCAUUGUUCAUAUCGUUCCACACUUGUCAAGAGCUGGAAACAGUUAUCGUGGUAAUUAUGAGAGUAAUAGCACCUAAAUGGAAAAUGAAAUGAGUGGAGCUGGUCCUGUGCUUAUUUGCUUGUUUCUUGAAUGCCAGCUAUUGCAGUGACGCAUUAUUUUGGGAUGUUGUUUGAUUUUCCUGU